rnacentral:rRNA from 1 species
ACGGAGGGUGCAAGCGUUAAUCGGAAUUACUGGGCGUAAAGCGCACGCAGGCGGUUGGAUAAGUUAGAUGUGAAAGCCCCGGGCUCAACCUGGGAAUUGCAUUUAAAACUGUCCAGCUAGAGUCUUAUAGAGGGGGGUAGAAUUCCAGGUGUAGCGGCGAAAUGCGUAGAGAUCUAGAGGAAGGUGGGUAGGGGAGGCGAGCACCUGGAAUAAGACUGACGCUCAGGUGCGAAAGCGUGGUGAGCUAGCAG